rnacentral:misc_RNA from 1 species
GAGGGCGGCGACGCCUGCGACCGAGCUGCGAGUGGAGACCGUAGCUGUGGAGCCGGGGACGAGAGGAGGAGGCGGUGCAGGAAAGCAGAGAGCGAGGCGUCCGUGGCCCCACCAGCCGCGGAGGACGGCGCCGCGUGGUGGUUCGAUGGCGUUGGCGGCGGAGGGCCUGGGGUCCCGCUCCCUCCGAGUCCGACGGUGGUCGUGGGCGUGGCUGUGGCAGCCUCGGAGGACGAAGCGGCCAUGGAGACGCUCGGAUCGGCGGGGUCACAGGCAGCGCAGGUCAGGGUCAGGGUUGCUUUUGGUGGGAAGCGUGUACCGGGGUGGUUGUUGUUGG